rnacentral:lncRNA from 1 species
CUUGAGCCAAAGCCAAGAAGGCAGACGUUGGCAAGAACAUUU